rnacentral:rRNA from 1 species
GAUGAACGCUGACAGAAUGCUUAACACAUGCAAGUCUACUUGAACUUCGGUUUGGGUGGCGGACGGGUGAGUAACGCGUAAAGAACUUGCCUCACAGAUAGGGACAACAUUUGGAAACGAAUGCUAAUACCUGAUAUUAUGAUUUUAGGGCAUCCUAGAAUUAUGAAAGCUAUAUGCACUGUGAGAGAGCUUUGCGUCCCAUUAGCUAGUUGGAGAGGUAACGGCUCACCAAGGCGAUGAUGGGAAGCCGGCCUGAGAGGGUGAUCGGCCACAAGGGGACUGAGACACGGCCCUUACUCCUACGGGAGGCAGCAGUGGGGAAUAUUGGACAAUGGACCAAGAGUCUGAUCCAGCAAUUCUGUGUGCACGAUGAAGUUUUUCGGAAUGUAAAGUGCUUUCAGUUGGGAAGAAAAAAAUGACGGUACCAACAGAAGAAGUGACGGCUAAAUACGUG